rnacentral:lncRNA from 1 species
UGGAAUACGUCUUGGGCACUUUAAGUUAUCUGUCCUGAUUCUGUCCCCUCCCAGUUCCUUCACUGAGAAACUGGAAUGGCUUUGGCUCUGUACAACACUGCUCAGCUGCAACUACAAACAUUGGUGUGUUAUCAGCAUUGUUUUUCUCCUAGAACCAAAACACAGCAUCAUAUCAGACACUGAAGAAAACAAUUCUGUCCCAGCUGAAACUAAGACAAUAGCAAAGAAAAAUGUGUUUGAAGGGAAAAGAGGAAUGCAACUCUGUGAAAAAUAGCUUGGGAAAUACCGGGAGACCUUGGGAGCAUUCAUAUCUAUAUGGUCAUCACUUGCAGCUCCGUGUGGACUACUGAAGAAGACAGGUAAAAGAAAAGGUGUGCAUUCGAGGCAAGGAAACAAGUACAUGCAUCUGCUGAUUGCACAUAACAAAAUCACAGUCAGAG